rnacentral:rRNA from 1 species
GACGAACGCUGGCGGCGUGCCUAAUACAUGCAAGUUGAGCGCUGAAGGUUGGUACUUGUACCAACUGGAUGAGCAGCGAACGGGUGAGUAACGCGUGGGGAAUCUGCCUUUGAGCGGGGGACAACAUUUGGAAACGAAUGCUAAUACCGCAUAAAAACUUUAAACACAAGUUUUAAGUUUGAAAGAUGCAAUUGCAUCACUCAAAGAUGAUCCCGCGUUGUAUUAGCUAGUUGGUGAGGUAAAGGCUCACCAAGGCGAUGAUACAUAGCCGACCUGAGAGGGUGGUCGGCCACAUUGGGAGUGAGACACGGCCCAAACUCCUACGGGAGGCAGCAGUAGGGAAUCUUCGGCAAUGGACGAAAGUCUGACCGAGCAACGCCGCGGGAGUGAAGAAGGUUGUCGGAUCGGAAAACUCGGUUGGUAGAGAAGAACGUUGGUGAGAGUGGAAAGCUCAUCAAGUGACGGUAACUACCCAGAAAGGGACGGCUAACUACGUG